rnacentral:rRNA from 1 species
ACUCCUACGGGAGGCAGCAGUAGGGAAUUUUCCGCAAUGGACGAAAGUCUGACGGAGCAAUGCCGCGUGAGUGAUGAAGGUUUUCGAAUCGUAAAGCUCUGUUGUAAGGGAAGAAUAGCAGUAGUAGGAAAUGACUACUGUGUGACGGUACCUUACCAGAAAGCCACGGCUAACUACGUGCCAGCAGCCGCGGUAAUACGUAGGUGGCAAGCGUUAUCCGGAAUUACUGGGCGUAAAGCGCAUGCAGGUGGUUUGUUAAGUCAGAUGUGAAAGCCCGGGGCUCAACCUCGGAAUAGCAUUUGAAACUGGCAAGCUAGAGUACUGUAGAGGGGGGUAGAAUUUCAGGUGUAGCGGUGAAAUGCGUAGAGAUCUGAAGGAAUACCGGUGGCGAAGGCGGCCCCUGGACAGAUACUGACACUCAGAUGCGAAAGCGUGGGGAGCAAACAGGAUUAGAUACCCUGGUAGGCUCU